ensembl:lncRNA
CCGCAACUCACCUUGUUGAGAACUAGCUGCCUCUUCCUGUAUUGACUUGUGCUGUCCACGCCAGCCCUCAUCAACACGGAUCCAUUUUGGAUCUUCUGUAGGGCCUGAGAGAUGUACCACCAGGAGCUCCUCUUUGAAUCUCUCUCCCAUUUUCAAUCCUCUCUUCCCUUUUUCAAUGCUGGAGAGCCAAUGCAUGGCCUCAUACAUGCCAGACGAAUAUCUACCACUAAGCAAUGAAGCCCACCAGAGAAAGCUACUGGGCAACAAGAUAAAAAGAAAAUCCUUGGAUUAAAAUUCACUAAAUCAUAUAGCAAUUAACUAUAAGGAAGAAAUAGUAAAACUACAAGCAACAUUACAAGGUGGGGCUAACACCGUUAAUUUAAGGAAAUACAACUACAGACGUACGAUGUUGUUGGUGCACAGUUCUGUUACAUCACUGAUCAAAAACGCGCGAGAGAGGAAGCAGGAAUUGUCUGAGCUGAACUAGAGAUCUAAGAAACUGCGGAAAUCAAACCCAACGCCUGCGGAGCAGGGAGUUACUGACUAGCUUCAGAGACUGCACCUCUUACUGGCAACACCGAACUGGAUUAACCCCAACAUUAUUUUUAAUGUUACUAUCUAACAGGCACCCCCCCCCCCGAUUCCUAAACGAGCUCCUAUACCGAG